GAUGAACGCUGGCGGCGUGCCUAAUACAUGCAAGUCGAGCGAACAGACGAGGAGCUUGCUCCUCUGACGUUAGCGGCGGACGGGGGAGUAACACGUGGAUAACCUACCUAUAAGACGGGGAUAACUUCGGGAAACCGGAGCUAAUACCGGAUAAUAUAUUAAACCGCAUGGUUCAAUAUUGAAAGACGGUUUUGCUGUCACUUAUAGAUGGAUCCGCGCCGCAUUAGCUAGUUGGUAAGGUAACGGCUUACCAAGGCAACGAUGCGUAGCCGACCUGAGAGGGUGAUCGGCCACACUGGAACUGAGACACGGUCCAGACUCCUACGGGAGGCAGCAGUAGGGAAUCUUCCGCAAUGGGCGAAAGCCUGACGGAGCAACGCCGCGUGAGUGAUGAAGGUCUUCGGAUCGUAAAACUCUGUUAUUAGGGAAGAACAAAUGUGUAAGUAACUAUGCACGUCUUGACGGUACCUAAUCAGAAAGCCACGGCUAACUACGUG
rnacentral:rRNA from 1 species